rnacentral:rRNA from 1 species
AGUGAACGCUGGCGGUAGGCCUAACACAUGCAGGUCGAACGGCAGCACAGUAAGAGCUUGCUCUUACGGGUGGCGAGUGGCGGACGGGUGAGGAAUACAUCGGAAUCUACUUUUUCGUGGGGGAUAACGUAGGGAAACUUACGCUAAUACCGCAUACGACCUACGGGUGAAAGCAGGGGAUCUUCGGACCUUGCGCGAUUGAAUGAGCCGAUGUCGGAUUAGCUAGUUGGCGGGGUAAAGGCCCACCAAGGCGACGAUCCGUAGCUGGCCUGAGAGGAUGAUCAGCCACACUGGAACUGAGACACGGUCCAGACUCCUACGGGAGGCAGCAGUGGGGAAUAUUGGACAAUGGGCGCAAGCCUGAUCCAGCCAUACCGCGUGGGUGAAGAAGGCCUUCGGGUUGUAAAGCCCUUUUGUUGGGAAAGAAAAGCAGCAGGUUAAUACCCCGCUGUUCUGACGGUACCCAAGGAAUAAGCACCGGCUAACUUCGUG